CAGCCACAUCCCCCCUACUCUACUCACUCUUAUGAACUGUGGAACCCCUUCUAACAACAUCUACAGCAUCGGUUGUCUAGCUACCAGCUUUUCACCUUCCUCACUCACAUUCAAGUGGACAGACGCCAGCGGCAGUGUGCUGACGGACUUCAUCCAGUACCCAUCGGUUCAGAGUGGGGAGCCUACACAGGAGUCAGUCAGCUCCGCUUGUCUAAGGAUGACUGGGGAAACUCAAAGUCUUUCAGCUGUUCUGUGGAACAUCUUGGAAUUGAAAAGAAAGCAGUCAUCAUUAAACCAGUCUCAAAGCUUCCAACAGUGUCUUUGCUGUCGGCACCCAUUGGCACCACUCAGUACCUGAUGUGUAUGAUUGAAGAUUUCGCACCCAAUAAAGUCACUGUCACCUGGAAGAAGAAUGACAUGGAGGUGGAGGGCCCGACCCCUACUGUAGGCCAACAGCCAUCAGGCCUCUACUCAGCCAGCAGUCUGCUGAAGGUCAACAACACUGACUGGAACAACAAGGUCAGGUACAGCUGUGUGGUGGAGCACCAGGGACAACCCACCAUCAAGACGAUCUCCAAAACAGAACCACUUACGGUGACUCUGAACCCACCGCGUGUGAGAGAGGUGUUCUUGGACAACCAAGCGGUGCUGGACUGUGUCAUCACUGCUACAGACCAGGACACAGUGUCUGGUACCAACAUCACCUGGCAGGUCAACGGACAGGCCAAGACGAGAGGCAUCAUUAUGAAACCCAUUGAAUCAAACGGCAACCUGAACAGCAGGGUCAGUACUCUGACCAUAGACCAGACAGAGUGGACCAACGUGAACAAAGUCCAGUGUUCUGCCAUGAAGAGUGGUGAAGACACAUCGGUCAUUCAGGACAUCAGCUUCACCAAAGGAAGUGAACAGGAGCCAGUACAGGAGGGGGUCACCAGCCCUCCUCAGAAAACCAAGAAAGGCAACUACUUCGUCACCAGCGUCUUCACCACCACCAAGGAUAAGUGGGACACAAAUGUGCUUUUCAUGCGCCGUCAAGCACCUCGGCUCGGACAACAAUACCACCCUCAGGGGAGGAGUGUGUCGAAGUCCUUGGGUAACUCAUGUGAAGACAACUGCACGGACAACGAUGAGGAUGAGUUCAGCAGCCUGUGGUCCACCACCUCCUCCUUCAUCAUCCUCUUCCUUCUCUCUCUCAUCUACAGCACAGUGCUCAGCCUGGUCAGGGUACAUACAUCACUUAUUAUAUGUGAUUGUAGACUUCUGAUGAAGGCCAUUGGCAGCUCAAAUGUUAUGAUUGUAAAUAAAAUAAAAUAUGUAUCAAGUGUUUAAUUGGACACAAGCAUU